GACUGUCUCCUUGGGCCUCUUGCCACCACCCCGUUUCCUCCAGUUCAGGGACUCUGCAGGGUCCUAGACAGAGGCUGGGUCUGGCUGGCAAGGCUCAUAUACACACAGAGAAGGGUUCCCAGAUACUAGUAAACAGCGAGCUCUGCCUGGAUCCCUGGGUCUCUGCCGGGUGGGCCACCUUCAGAGCAGACCCAGGGGAAUUGCCAGGGACUCAGCCAGAAGCAGCCGAGAUUUCCAGAACCACGACAACAAACAGGUGCUCUCUGUGUGCACAACUCAACGCCUAUCACGGCUCUUACCGCCCUGGACUAUUCUGACUAUCUACUUGCCUGAGCGCCCCCCCCACUGUCCCCCCUCAGCUGAAAACUCCCGAGAGGCAGGGUCGGCACUGUCUCACUCACUGUUGAGCUUUUGGCAUCUCGAAGUGCUCAGUGAGUGUGCGCGCAAUAAAUGAGUCUUGGGUGGAGGCACUGGGAACACAGAGAUGAACAACAGGCAGUUUCUCAUUCAGGACACCUAAGCUCACACCGAGUGCACAGUAAGCCCUUCGAUGUGGAUGGACUAAACUCAGCUCAGGAGCCCUGCGCAUACACUCUGACCGAGACCGCCCAGCUGGAGAGGGAUUUUCCCAUGGGUCCCAAUGGGUCAAACCGCAGGGGAGAGGAAGGACGCUUUUCACAGCUGAAGAAGCACGCGGGGCAGCUUGCCCAAGGUCACAGAGCAGUUUACAGCGGAGCAGCCCAAGACCCCAGGUCGUUCAACACCUAGUCUUUGUCUUGGAUUUGGCAAGGAUUUCCAAACUUUUUCUAGUAGCAGAGCUCUUUUUCUUGUCAUUUAUUUUUUUACAUUUUUAAUGCAGUAAUAGACACAAACAUGGCUAAAUAAAAAUGAAAUUGCACAGAAGUUCUUUUAGCAGAAUCAAUCCCCCCUGCCCCCAUUCUGCUUGCCAGAGGCCUUAAGAACAUAAGAAUGUUUGUUUCAAAAAAUAUAUGAAAGCAAAGAUGCUUUGGUUGAAAGGGGAGCAACACAA